UGGGCGACACACGUGCUACAAUGACCGGGACAAAGGGUCGCGACCCCGCGAGGGCAAGCUAACCUCAAAAACCCGGCCUCAAUUCGGAUUUCAGUCUACAACUCGCCUACAUGAAGCCGAAAUCGCUAGUAAUCGCCGAUCAGCCAUACGGCGGUGAAUUCGUUCCCGGGCCUUGUACACACCACCCGUCACACUAUGGGAGCUGGCCAUGCCCCAAGUCGUUACCUUAACCGCAAGGAGGGGGAUGUCAAAGGCUGGGCUAGUGACUGGAGUGAAGUUGUAACAAGGUAGCCAUACUGGAAGGUGUGGCUGGAUCACCUCCUUU
rnacentral:ncRNA from 1 species